rnacentral:rRNA from 1 species
GACGAACGCUGGCGGCGUGCUUAACACAUGCAAGUCGAACGGAAAGACCCUGCGUUUGUGGGUUGCUCGAGUGGCGAACGGGUGAGUAACACGUGAGUAACCUGCCCUUGACUUUGGGAUAACUUCAGGAAACUGGGGCUAAUACCGGAUAGGAGCUCCUGCUGCAUGGUGGGGGUUGGAAAGUUUCGGCGGUUGGGGAUGGACUCGCGGCUUAUCCGCUUGUUGGUGGGGUAGUGGCUUACCAAGGGUUUGACGGGUAGCCGGCCUGAGAGGGUGACCGGCCACAUUGGGACUGCGAUACGCAGCAGACUCCUACGGGAGGCAGCAGUGGGGAAUAUUGCACAAUGGGCGGAAGCGUGAUGCAGAAACGCCGCGUGCGGGAUGACGGCCUUCGGGUUGUAAACCGCUUUCGCCUGUGACGAAGCGUGAGUGACGGUAAUGGGUAAAGAAGCACCGGCUAACUACGUG